GGAACGGGAGCUGGGCUUGGGACCAGGGCCAGCCCAAGCCCGAGCCCAAGUAGGCUCA
rfam:Loxodonta africana unplaced genomic scaffold scaffold_111, whole genome shotgun sequence.